rnacentral:rRNA from 1 species
AUUGAACGCUGGCGGCAGGCCUAACACAUGCAAGUCGAGCGGAUGAAGGGAGCUUGCUCCUGGAUUCAGCGGCGGACGGGUGAGUAAUGCCUAGGAAUCUGCCUGGUAGUGGGGGAUAACGUCCGGAAACGGGCGCUAAUACCGCAUACGUCCUGAGGGAGAAAGUGGGGGAUCUUCGGACCUCACGCUAUCUGAUGAGCCUAGGUCGGAUUAGCUAGUUGGUGGGGUAAAGGCCUACCAAGGCGACGAUCCGUAACUGGUCUGAGAGGAUGAUCUGUCACACUGGAACUGAGACACGGUCCAGACUCCUACGGGAGGCAGCAGUGGGGAAUAUUGGACAAUGGGCGAAAGCCUGAUCCAGCCAUGCCGCGUGUGUGAAGAAGGUCUUCGGAUUGUAAAGCACUUUAAGUUGGGAGGAAGAGCAGUAAGUUAAUACCUUGCUGUUUUGACGGUACCAACAGAGUAAGCACCGGCUAACUACGUG